rnacentral:rRNA from 1 species
UACGUAGGGGGCGAGCGUUGUCCGGAUUUAUUGGGCGUAAAGGGCGCGUAGGCGGCCUGUGCAAGUCGCGUGUGAAAGCCCCCGGCUCAACUGGGGAGGGUCACGCGAUACUGAUCGACUCGAAGGCAGGAGAGGGUAGUGGAAUUCCCGGUGUAGUGGUGAAAUGCGUAGAUAUCGGGAGGAACACCAGUGGCGAAGGCGACUACCUGGCCUGUUCUUGACGCUGAGGCGCGAAAGCUAGGGGAGCAAACGGG